AGAUGAGAAACCAACCAAUGGUGAUGGUCUUUGGAAUCAGAUAGACCUGAGUUCAAAUCCCAGCUCCUCUA
rfam:Macaca mulatta chromosome 7, whole genome shotgun sequence.